rnacentral:rRNA from 1 species
AAUUACCCAAUCCUGACACAGGGAGGUAGUGACAAGAAAUAACAAUACAGGGCAAUUGUCUUGUAAUUGGAAUGAUGGUGACCUAAACCCUCACCAGAGUAACAAUUGGAGGGCAAGUCUGGUGCCAGCAGCCGCGGUAAUUCCAGCUCCAAUAGCGUAUAUUAAACUUGUUGCAGUUAAAAAGCUCGUAGUUGAAUUUUUGCGUGGUGUUAAUAUUGACUGAUGUCGAGAUUGCACUUCGCUUUUGGGAUUUUUCCCUUUUUACUUUGAGAAAAUUAGAGUGUUUCAAGCAGACUUUUGUCUUGAAUACUUCAGCAUGGAAUAAUAGAGUAGGACUUUGGUUCUAUUUUGUUGGUUUGUGAACCUUAGUAAUGGUUAAUAGGAACGGUUGGGGGCAUUCGUAUUUAA